GACGAACGCUGGCGGCGUGCUUAACACAUGCAAGUCGAACGGUGAAGGAAGAGCUUGCUCUUCCGGAUCAGUGGCGAACGGGUGAGUAACACGUGGGCAACCUGCCCCUGACUCUGGGAUAACUCCUCGAAAGAGGUGCUAAUACCGGAUACGACCACUUCGGACAUCCGAUGGUGGUGGAAAGUUUUUCGGUCAGGGAUGGGCCCGCGGCCUAUCAGCUAGUUGGUGGGGUAAUGGCCUACCAAGGCGACGACGGGUAGCCGGCCUGAGAGGGCGACCGGCCACACUGGGACUGAGACACGGCCCAGACUCCUACGGGAGGCAGCAGUGGGGAAUAUUGCGCAAUGGGCGAAAGCCUGACGCAGCGACGCCGCGUGAGGGGAUGAAGGCCUUCGGUU
rnacentral:rRNA from 1 species